ACUCAACGUUACAUGAAUUAAAAAAGGUGAGUCGAGAUUGUUAGGAUAUGCCUGCUUGACUGGAAAUCCGACCAUUCUGUUAACCUUAAACCUGUUUAAAGGAGUUU
rnacentral:sRNA from 1 species